AUUUUGCGUGAGGGGAUGAAAUGGAAAUCCUUUUAUUUUUUUCUUUAAAAAAUAAAAGAUUGUAAUGUAAAACCCGUUCGCCG
rnacentral:sRNA from 1 species